rnacentral:rRNA from 1 species
GAACGCGAAGAACCUUACCAGGGCUUGACAUCUUGCGAAUCCGAUGGAAACAUUGGAGUGCCCUUUAAGGGAACGCAAAGACAGGUGGUGCAUGGUUGUCGUCAGCUCGUGUCGUGAGAUGUUGGGUUAAGUCCCGCAACGAGCGCAACCCUUGCCCUUAGUUGCCAGCAUGGAAGGUGGGCACUCUAAGGGGACUGCCGGUGACAAACCGGAGGAAGGUGGGGAUGACGUCAAAUCAUCAUGCCCUUUAUGUCCUGGGCUACACACGUGCUACAAUGGCCGGUACAGAGGGUAGCGAAAGGGCGACCUGGAGCCAAUCCAAGAAAGCCGGUCGUAGUUCGGAUUGCAGGCUGCAACCCGCCUGCAUGAAGUCGGAAUCGCUAGUAAUCGCGGAUCAGCAUGCCGCGGUGAAUACGUUCCCGGGUCUUGUACACACCG